rnacentral:tRNA from 1 species
GUCCCCUUCGUCCAGAGGUUAGGACGUCGGUUUUUCAUGUCGAAAAACACGGGUUCGAUUCCCGUAGGGGAUA